rnacentral:rRNA from 1 species
AGAGUUUGAUCCUGGCUCAGGAUGAACGCUGGCGGCGUGCCUAAUACAUGCAAGUCGAGCGAACAGAUAAGGAGCUUGCUCCUUUGACGUUAGCGGCGGACGGGUGAGUAACACGUGGAUAACCUACCUAUAAGACUGGGAUAACUUCGGGAAACCGGAGCUAAUACCGGAUAACAUAUUGAACCGCAUGGUUCAAUAGUGAAAGGCGGCUUUGCUGUCACUUAUAGAUGGAUCCGCGCCGUAUUAGCUAGUUGGUAAGGUAACGGCUUACCAAGGCAACGAUACGUAGCCGACCUGAGAGGGUGAUCGGCCACACUGGAACUGAGACACGGUCCAGACUCCUACGGGAGGCAGCAGUAGGGAAUCUUCCGCAAUGGGCGAAAGCCUGACGGAGCAACGCCGCGUGAGUGAUGAAGGUCUUCGGAUCGUAAAACUCUGUUAUCAGGGAAGAACAAAUGUGUAAGUAACUGUGCACAUCUUGACGGUACCUGAUCAGAAAGCCACGGCUAACUACGUGCCAGCAGCCGCGGUAAUACGUAGGUGGCAAGCGUUAUCCGGAAUUAUUGGGCGUAAAGCGCGCGUAGGCGGUUUUUUAAGUCUGAUGUGAAAGCCCACGGCUCAACCGUGGAGGGUCAUUGGAAACUGGAAAACUUGAGUGCAGAAGAGGAAAGUGGAAUUCCAUGUGUAGCGGUGAAAUGCGCAGAGAUAUGGAGGAACACCAGUGGCGAAGGCGACUUUCUGGUCUGUAACUGACGCUGAUGUGCGAAAGCGUGGGGAUCAAACAGGAUUAGAUACCCUGGUAGUCCACGCCGUAAACGAUGAGUGCUAAGUGUUAGGGGGUUUCCGCCCCUUAGUGCUGCAGCUAACGCAUUAAGCACUCCGCCUGGGGAGUACGACCGCAAGGUUGAAACUCAAAGGAAUUGACGGGGACCCGCACAAGCGGUGGAGCAUGUGGUUUAAUUCGAAGCAACGCGAAGAACCUUACCAAAUCUUGACAUCCUUUGACCGCUCUAGAGAUAGAGUCUUCCCCUUCGGGGGACAAAGUGACAGGUGGUGCAUGGUUGUCGUCAGCUCGUGUCGUGAGAUGUUGGGUUAAGUC